rnacentral:rRNA from 1 species
AGCGAACGCUGGCGGCAGGCCUAACACAUGCAAGUCGAACGAACCUUUCGGGGUUAGUGGCGGACGGGUGAGUAACACGUGGGAACGUGCCUUUAGGUUCGGAAUAACUCAGGGAAACUUGUGCUAAUACCGAAUGUGCCCUUCGGGGGAAAGAUUUAUCGCCUUUAGAGCGGCCCGCGUCUGAUUAGCUAGUUGGUUGAGGUAAUGGCUCACCAAGGCGACGAUCAGUAGCUGGUCUGAGAGGAUGAUCAGCCACAUUGGGACUGAGACACGGCCCAAACUCCUACGGGAGGCAGCAGUGGGGAAUCUUGCGCAAUGGGCGAAAGCCUGACGCAGCCAUGCCGCGUGAAUGAUGAAGGUCUUAGGAUGGUAAAAUUCUUUCACCGGGGACGAUAAUGACGGUAACCGGAGAAGAAGCCCCGGCUAACUUCGU